CCGUGAAAACCGGGGGCUUAACCCUCGGCGUGCGGGCGAUACGGGCAGACUGGAGUACUGCAGGGGAGACUGGAAUUCCUGGUGUAGCGGUGGAAUGCGCAGAUAUCAGGAGGAACACCGGUGGCGAAGGCGGGUCUCUGGGCAGUAACUGACGCUGAGGAGCGAAAGCGUGGGGAGCGAACAGGAUUAGAUACCCUGGUAGUCCACGCCGUAAACGGUGGGUACUAGGUGUGGGUUUCCU
rnacentral:rRNA from 1 species